UACGGAGGAUCCAAGCGUUAUCCGGAAUUACUGGGCGUAAAGAGUUGCGUAGGUGGCAUUGUAUGUCGGUAGUGAAAGCGUGAGGCUCAACCUCAUAAACAUUAUCGAAACUGCAAAGCUAGAGGACGAGAGAGGUUAUUGGAAUUUCUAGUGUAGGGGUAAAAUCCGUUGAUAUUAGAAAGAACACCGAUGGCGUAGGCAGGUAACUGGCUCGUUCCUGACACUAAGGCACGAAAGCGUGGGUAGCAAACAGG
rnacentral:rRNA from 1 species